GGCCGCUAAUACCCCAUAUGCCGAGAGGUGAAAUGAAUUUCGCCUGUAGAUGGGCCCGCGUCUGAUUAGCUAGUUGGUGGGGUAAGAGCCUACCAAGGCGACGGUCAGUAGCUGGUCUGAGAGGAUGAUCAGCCACACUGGGACUGAGACACGGCCCAGACUCCUACGGGAGGCAGCAGUGGGGAAUUUUCCGCAAUGGGCGAAAGCCUGACGGAGCAACGCCGCGUGAGGGAUGAAGGCCUCUGGGCUGUAAACCUCUUUUCUCAAGGAAGAAGACCUGACGGUACUUGAGGAAUAAGCCACGGCUAAUUCCGUGCCAGCAGCCGCGGUAAUACGGGAGUGGCAAGCGUUAUCCGGAAUUAUUGGGCGUAAAGCGUCCGCAGGUGGCCCUGUAAGUCUGUCGUUAAAGCGUGGAGCUUAACUCCAUUUAAGCGAUGGAAACUACAGGGCUAGAGUGUGGUAGGGGCAGAGGGAAUUCCCGGUGUAGCGGUGAAAUGCGUAGAUAUCGGGAAGAACACCAGUGGCGAAGGCGCUCUGCUGGGCCAUCACUGACACUCAUGGACGAAAGCCAGGGGAGCGAAAGGGAUUAGAUACCCCUGUAGUCCUGGCCGUAAACGAUGAACACUAGGUGUCGGGGGAAUCGACCCCCUCGGUGUCGUAGCCAACGCGUUAAGUGUUCCGCCUGGGGAGUACGCACGCAAGUGUGAAACUCAAAGGAAUUGACGGGGGCCCGCACAAGCGGUGGAGUAUGUGGUUUAAUUCGAUGCAACGCGAAGAACCUUACCAGGGUUUGACAUCCUGCGAAUCCCUUGGAAACGAGGGAGUGCCUUCGGGAGCGCAGAGACAGGUGGUGCAUGGCUGUCGUCAGCUCGUGUCGUGAGAUGUUGGGUUAAGUCCCGCAACGAGCGCAACCCACGUCGUUAGUUGCCAGCAUUCAGUUGGGCACUCUAGCGAGACCGCCGGUGAUAAACCGGAGGAAGGUGUGGAUGACGUCAAGUCAUCAUGCCCCUUACAUCCUGGGCUACACACGUACUACAAUGCUACGGACAAAGGGCAGCGAUCCCGCGAGGGCUAGCAAAUCCCAUAAACCGUGGCUCAGUUCAGAUCGUAGGCUGCAACUCGCCUACGUGAAGGAGGAAUCGCUAGUAAUCGCAGGUCAGCAUACUGCGGUGAAUACGUUCCCGGGCCUUGUACACACCGCCCGUCACACCAUGGAAGUUGGCCACGCCCGAAGUAGUUACUCCAACCC
rnacentral:rRNA from 1 species